AGAAUCAACGCUGGCGGCGUGCCUAACACAUGCAAGUCGAACGAGAAAGGGACUUCGGUCCUGAGUAAAGUGGCGCACGGGUGAGUAACACGUGACUAACCUACCCUUGAGUGGGGAAUAACUUCGGGAAACCGAGGCUAAUACCGCAUAACACCUACGGGUCAAAGGAGCAAUUCGCUUAAGGAGGGGGUCGCGGCAGAUUAGCUAGUUGGCGGGGUAAUGGCCCACCAAGGCAGUGAUCUGUAUCCGGCCUGAGAGGGCGCACGGACACACUGGAACUGAAACACGGUCCAGACUCCUACGGGAGGCAGCAGUGGGGAAUUUUGCGCAAUGGGGGAAACCUGACGCAGCAACGCCGCGUGGAGGAUGAAGUCUCUUGGGACGUAAACUCCUUUCGAUCGGGACGAUAAUGACGGUACCGAGAGAAGAAGCCCCGGCUAACUUCGUGCCAGCAGCCGC
rnacentral:rRNA from 1 species